GAUGAACGCUAGCGGCAGGCCUAAUACAUGCAAGUCGAACGGCGUCUUCGGACAUAGUGGCGCACGGGUGCGUAACACGUAUGCAACCUACCUUACAUUGGGGGAUAGCCUUUCGAAAGGGAGAUUAAUACCGCAUAAGACAGUAGCUGGGCAUCCAGCAGCUGUUAAAGAUUUAUCGAUGUAAGCUGGGCAUGCGUCCAAUUAGCUAGUUGGUGAGGUAACGGCCCACCAAGGCAAUGAUUGGUAGGGGAACUGAGAGGUCAAUCCCCCACACUGGCACUGAGAUACGGGCCAGACUCCUACGGGAGGCAGCAGUAGGGAAUAUUGGGCAAUGGACGCAAGUCUGACCCAGCCAUGCCGCGUGCAGGAUGAAGGCGUUAUGCGUUGUAAACUGCUUUUAUACAGGAAGAAACGACUCUUGCGAGAGGCAUUGACGGUACUGUAUGAAUAAGCGCCGGCUAACUCCGUGCCAGCAGCCGCGGUAAUAC
rnacentral:rRNA from 1 species